rnacentral:rRNA from 1 species
UACAGAGGGUGCGAGCGUUAAUCGGAAUUACUGGGCGUAAAGCGCGCGUAGGCGGCUUUUCAAGUCGAUUGUGAAAUCCCCGGGCUUAACCUGGGAACUGCAGUCGAGACUGUCUAGCUAGAGUAUGGGAGAGGGAAGUGGAAUUCCAGGUGUAGCGGUGAAAUGCGUAGAUAUCUGGAGGAACACCGGUGGCGAAGGCGGCUCACUGGCUCGUUUCUGACGCUCAGGCGCGACAGCGUGGGGAUCAAACAGG